UUUGUAAAUAAGGAUUGUUUUGCAUGGCAGUGGGUUCAAAUAAAGGUGGUGUAGGUAAGCUUGGCAUUUCCAAGCGUUGAAAUUAUCAAUAUUAUUCUUUUGGUAUGAUUUGUGUAUGAAAGAAUAUAAAUGUAUAGGACUCACACCAUUUAGUAAGGUGCUAAUCUCCGAAUUCUCCUAAAACAGUGUUUUCCGAUGCUGUAACUACAUACAUGGUUUUUACUGCAAGAUCUGAGUUGCUAGAUUUUUUGAAGAUCUGGGUUAUGUUUUUGAAGCUAGUAAUUUCUUUGAACCAUAAUAAAAUACAGAAAGCAGCCAGAGUUUAAGAGAUGGUUGAUGGCAGCAAAUGAAAAUAAGCUUCAUUGUUUCUUUGAACAGGGCAACAUAGUGGAUUCUCCUUUUCCUAUAAGCAAAAUCAAUUUGAAUCCAUUGGCUGGAAUAGAAUAUUAAAUCUGCCUUCUCUCCAUGCACGUGGGCUGUGAGUGAGGGUACCCUCGCUCCCGUGCCCUGAAGACCCAUGUUGCUUAAAGCCUGCAGAUGGCACUCAGUUUAUGCUUGAAGUUACUUGAUUGUAGUUUUAGAAUUUUGUCUAGAUCCUGUUAGGUUGUUGGUUUUUUUUUCUUGGUUUGUUUUAGUUGUAGGGCAACUACAACUGGUUUUAAUCCUAAUGCAUACUAAUUAAAGGAUAUUUGGAAAGAACAGAUAGUACCCGGAGUUCUAAAGAAGGAUUAUCUUUUGCUACUGUAUAGUGAAAGAAAAUUGCUAGGUGAAGGCUUAGGAAGAAACAGAAAUGGAUUAGAUGCUUUCUAGUUGCUAUAGAAACAAAAUACGUAAUUAAUCAAAAUGAAAUAUGUUACAACUGUUACACUGAUGAAAGUACUUAGUAAAGGUUGGACAAUGAGUGAGUGUUUUGUAUUGCAACACCAAAAUGAGAAAUAAACAGAGGGUUCAGGUUUUAUUUUUCUAAUGCAAUUUUCCCCUACUGCAUUUUUUUUGUGCUUGGUUAACCAAAAGCAAAAGUAUUUAUUUCCUAAUAUGGAAAAAAAAGGGGUGUUGAUAAUAAUUAGUAAUAUGGUGAGGAUUUGCAUUAAUACCACCAGAAAUUAAUAACUAUUAUGUGAUACUAAUGAUAUGAUGAAAUGAAUAAAAACCUUAAGUACAUGUUUUUUUGGGAAAUAAACACCCACCUGAUUUUAUUAAUAUGAACUGUUUAAUUACGCUUUAACUUUUAACAGACCACGUCAGUGUUUCUUAUUCUAUAAAAGUAUAUUAACAGUUUCAUACCUUUGCUUCAUAGCUAAUAAAUACAAUUUCAUUACAAAA